rnacentral:rRNA from 1 species
AUGGCGCGAACUCUGGUGUUCCUGCUCGUGCUACUGUGCUCCAGCGCAAGCCUAGUCACAAGUAGUGCCAGCGCAGGGCUCCGCAUGAAGCUCACCCACGUCGACGACAAGGCCGGUUACACCACGGAGGAGCGCGUGCGCCGCGCUGUCGCCGUAAGCCGGGAACGCCUGGCCUCCAUGCAGCAGCAGCGUGGGGUAGUCGGCGACGUGAGCGCGCCAGUCCACCUGGCCACCCGGCAGUACAUCGCCGAGUACCUCAUCGGCGACCCGCCCCAGCGCGCCGACGCCCUCAUCGACACCGGCAGCAACCUCAUCUGGACCCAGUGCGCGACGACGUGCCUCAAGGCGUGCGCCAAGCAGGACCUGCCUUACUACAACCUGUCGAGCUCGGCGAGCUUCGCGCCCGUGCCGUGCGCGGACAACGCCAAGCUGUGCGCCGCCAACGGCGUGCACCUCUGCGGCCUGGACGGCAGCUGCACCUUCAUCGCCAGCUACGGUGCCGGCAGCGUCAUCGGGUCGCUCGGCACGGAGGCCUUCACCUUCCAGUCCGGCGCGGCGAGGCUGGCCUUCGGGUGCGUGAGCCUGACGCAGAUCGCGAAGGGCGCCCUGAACGGCGCGUCCGGGCUCAUCGGGCUCGGCCGCGGCCGCCUGUCGCUCAUCUCCCAGACGGGCGCCACAAAGUUCUCCUACUGCCUCACCCCCUAUCUCCGCAACCACGGCGCCUCCAGCCACCUGUUCGUCGGCGCGUCGGCGAGCCUGAGCGGCAGCGGCGCCGUGACGUCCAUACCGUUCGUGAAGAGCCCCAAGGAGUACCCCUACAGCACGUUCUACUACCUCCCUUUGACGGGGAUCACCGUGGGGAAGACCAAGCUACCGAUCCCCAGCGCGGCGUUCGAGCUCAGGCGGGUCGCUGCCGGGUAUUGGUCCGGCGGGGUGAUCAUCGACACCGGCAGCCCUGUGACGGCCCUCGCCGACGCCGCGUACAGGGCGCUGGGCGAGGAGGUGACUCGGCAGCUGAACCGCAGCCUCGUGCAGCCGCCGGCGGACACCGGACUGGACCUGUGUGUGGCACGGGACGACGUCGACAAGGUCGUGCCGGCGCUGGUCUUCCACUUCAGUGGCGGUGCGGACAUGGCGGUGCCGGCGGGGAGCUACUGGGGGCCCGUGGACAAGUCGACGGCAUGCAUGCUGAUCGAGGAAGGAGGUUACGAGAGCGUGAUCGGCAACUUCCAGCAGCAAGACUUGCACCUGCUCUACGACAUCGGCAAGGGGGAGCUUUCGUUCCAGACCGCAGACUGCAGCGUUCUAUGA